rnacentral:rRNA from 1 species
AGAACGAACGCUGGCGGCAUGCCUAAUACAUGCAAGUCGAACGAACACUUCGGUGUUAGUGGCGCACGGGUGCGUAACGCGUGGGAAUCUGCCCUUGGGUUCGGAAUAACAGUUGGAAACGACUGCUAAUACCGGAUGAUGACGAAAGUCCAAAGAUUUAUCGCCCAGGGAUGAGCCCGCGUAGGAUUAGCUAGUUGGUGAGGUAAAGGCUCACCAAGGCGACGAUCCUUAGCUGGUCUGAGAGGAUGAUCAGCCACACUGGGACUGAGACACGGCCCAGACUCCUACGGGAGGCAGCAGUAGGGAAUAUUGGACAAUGGGCGCAAGCCUGAUCCAGCAAUGCCGCGUGAGUGAUGAAGGCCUUAGGGUUGUAAAGCUCUUUUACCCGAGAUGAUAAUGACAGUAUCGGAAGAAUAAGCCCCGCUAACUCCGUGCCAGCAGCCGC